rnacentral:ribozyme from 1 species
ACCCCACAAUUGGCGCGGCCUCCUCUAGGCGUGGGGUGGGCAACUCACCAUCAUGGUGAGGCUAACAGCGUCA